UUUGUUAACCCUGAAAUGAGGGAAACUCAGGGUUUUCCGUUUCACAAAGGGAGGUAACUCAAACCAGAGACAGAGGGGUAACUCUAGCCUGUUUCACAAAGAGGGGUAACUUAAACUCUCGGUCAGUUACCAUAGUAACAGACUCUAUGACUCUAACCUGGUCGGGACCAGGUUUAUCUCAGUAAACCUCGAGUUUCUCUCAGUCUCCGCCCUCUUUCAGCCACACGCUAUUUGAUUUCCUCAUUCAUUCAUUCAUUCAUUCAGUCAGCUGGCGAGUUUUAGCGAAGUCUAGUUCUGCCGUCUAUAAAUGUCAUGUCCUUUUAUUAAUGAUCCAGUGGAUGAAGGAGCAGCAUUAGUGUGCAGAGAAUUAAAUAUUCGUCAGGAGAUUGUUAUCAGACCGCGCAUAGAUGUUCUCGCAUUUCCGGACAAUUAUCUUUUUGAGCGGUACCCAUCACAGUCCAUAAUCUAGAUACACAACCUCAUCCCUCUCACAUCCCAGAAGAUAUUGUGUGUUGGGAAGUUUUUUAAAUAAUGUCAGAGAUGCAGAGCACUUCAGUAAGACAACUGUAUGCAGAGCUGUCAGAAAAGUGUGUCUGGCCCUGAAACGACUUUUACCAUCUUUGUGGUUUUCCCUGGACAUAAACCUGUCAGAGACAUCAAGGAGGAGUUCCACAGGAUUGCAGGUGAAUGAUGUAGAGAUCUGUUCAAUUAAUUUUAAAUCAUAUCCAGUUAAUGACAUUGUGCUGCAACCUCAGACUGUGAUUAGUAAAUUUAAUUUCUUUUAGGAUUUCCCAGUGUGAUUGGCUGCAUAGAUGGCACACACAUCCCCAUCAAAGCUCCCUCACAUAAUGAAGCUGAUUAUGUGAACAGGAAGUCCAUUCACAGCAUAAAUGUGCAGAUCAUAUGUGAUGCUGCACACAUCAUUUCCAAUGUGGAGGCCAAGUGGUCUGGGUCUGUUCAUGACUGGAGGAUUUAUCAUGAGUCUAACCUGAGCAACAGACUGCAACGUGGAGAGUUUGAUGGCCUUCUGCUGGGUGACAGGGGUUACCAUGCCAACCCAGGCUGAUGACCUCAUACCCUGACCCUGAACCAGGCCCCCAACAGAACUUCAACCAGGCUCACUGCAAGACGAGAGCCUGGGUGGAGAUGACCAUAGACCUGCUGAAAGCCUGUUUCCAGUGUCUACAUCACCUCAGGGUGACUCCUGAGAGGCCUGUGAUAUUAUUGUGGCAUGUGUUGUUCUUCAUAAUAUUACCACUAUUAGAGGAGAGCAACACUCUGCCCUACAAACUGAAGACCCAGAUGAUGACCUCAUCCACCUGCAGCUAUCCAGGACAGCAGAGCAGUCAGAGACAUCAUAUGCAAUAACCACUUUGGAGUUUAAGUCACCAUCAUCACCACCACAGCAGUCAAAUAAACACAUGAUACACAUUUCA